AAAUGCGAUAAGUAAUGUGAAUUGCAGAAUUCAGUGAAUCAUCGAAUCUUUGAACGCACAUUGCGCCCAUUAGUAUUCUAGUGGGCAUGCCUGUUCGAGCGUCAUUUCAACCCCUAAGCACAGCUUAUUGUUGGGCGUCUACGUCUGUAGUGCCUCAAAGACAUUGGCGGAGCGGCAGCAGUCCUCUGAGCGUAGUAAUUCUUUAUCUCGCUUCUGUUAGGCGCUGCCCCCCCGGCCGUAAAACCCCCAAUUUUUUCUGGUUGACCUCGGAUCAGGUAGGAAUACCCGCUGAACUUAAGC
rnacentral:misc_RNA from 1 species